AUACGUAGGUGACAAGCGUUAUCCGGAUUUACUGGGCGUAAAGGGCGUGUAGGCGGUCUUGCAAGUCAGAAGUGAAAUUCCUGAGCUCAACUCGGGCGCUGCUUCUGAAACUGCAGGACUUGAGUGCUGGAGGGGAUAGCGGAAUUCCUAGUGGAGCGGUAAAAUGCGCAGAUAUUAGGAAGAACACCGGUGGCGAAGGCGGAUAUCGAGACAGUAACUGACGCUGAGGCUCGAAAGCGUGGGGAGCAAACAGGAGUAGAUACCCGGGUAGUCCUAGCCGUAAACGAUGCGGACUUGGUGUUGGGAUGGCUUUGAGCCGCUUCGGUGCCGAAGGGAAGCUGUUAAGUCCGCCGCCUGGGAAGUACGGUCGCAAGACUGAAACUUAAAGGAAUUGACGGGG
rnacentral:rRNA from 1 species